GGGAGGGGCAGGGAGAAAAUAUCCUUUAAAGGCCUGCCCCCAGUGACCCAUUUCCUCUCAGCCCCCACCUCCUAAUAGCUGAUUCAGUAUUACUUCAUCAUCGAUGAGGCUACCAGCAUCAUGGUCCAAUCAUUGUUCAGUAGUGCCCCCAGCUGGGAACAAAGUCUCCAGCACAUGAACUAUUUGGAGGGAGCCUCACCUCAUAUUUGAACUGUAUUACUGACCUAACAGGACACUUGCUGAAGACAGGCAAGGUGAGCAGACAUCACAUCCUGGCGGAUCAGAAUCCUGCUCAGGUACAGAUUCUGCUAACCUGAUGUGCAGAGUUCUAUGCCCAAAUGAUUUUUACCAGGAUAUGAACGGAAAGACUGGGUCCUGAUGAAAGUUUGACCCAACAGAGAGUCUCCUGUUCAUGUUCCUUGCUGUCACAGGCCUCAGGCUGUUGUGAUUCUUUGCAUGAACCUCACAGCUGUUUGACCCUGGUUGUUUGCUGAGCAAGCAGUUGAGCUACAAGGAGUCUGCCCAGUGAGAUACCAAAGAUGGUAUGAGGGUGGGGGAAGGGCUUGGUUUGUAGCCCAGUAAAGGGCAAAUGUUGGACAAGGCCCUUCCAAAGAAAUGUUCAGCCAGAGGCAGUUCCUUUUGAGCUGAGAGAGCCAGGCCCUGGGUUAGUACAGCAUUUCUAGUUGCAGGGGGCUGGGGAACAAACAUCUGUUGAACAUAUACAUAGAACAUCUCUCUCUUAUAUAAUUUGCUUUGGGGAGUCGUUUUGAGAAAUUAUUUCCUGUUGUUGAGCCAGUGGACAGCAAAGCCCUGCUCUGCCAUUGGGGGUGAUUCUGGCUUGCAGCUCAGAUGGAGAUGAGAGAGAGAGGAGAAGGGGAGAAGGCCAUGGGGGGGGGUUAGUUGGUAGGUGGGCUGCAACAUGUUAGGGGAGGAGCACCCGUACAGCUGGCCUACAGCUGCUGCACUAGGCAAGGUUUUCCUGGUCUCAGCAGGGUGGCCUUGGCUUUUCACUGUCCCCAGGAAGUGGACCAAGGCCCAGUUGCCUCUGUUUCCCCAGGAUUUCCCAUCUACUUAUCUUCUCCACAUCUUUGUGAGUCCAUGAUCUGCCUUCCAAUGUACAAAGGGGAGCGCAAGGCUUAAGGAAUGGGAAGAACUUUGCCCCACGAGUCACAGUCUGUUGAAGUUGGGGAACAGAUCGGAAACUGCUUGAGCAACUUGGGCUCCUUCUGUUAGUUCCCCAGGGUAAAGGUCAGGCCAAGUCUAUGAUACCAGUGGAAUAAGUGGUGUCUGCAGAUAUCUGACUCGGGAUUGCUUUGGGGGACACCUUAUGACAUGGGACUUAAAUAUACAGCCUUUCUCUAGCCCUGUCUACAGACCUGUGGCCCUGGAUCUUUGACUACUGGAGACUGUGGACCAUGGGACUGCACUGUCUCUCUGCAUGGCUCACCUGGGCUCUCACUCUAUAACCCUACAUUCAUAUUGACUCUUAAUUGGUGUUAGGUAGGAGAAUGUUGAAUGGUCUUGAUACUUCCCUGCUGGCUUUGUCUUAUCUCUCACACAUUCCUGCAGACAAGGAAGCCACAGAAUUCCUGUCCACAGCCAGAUCAGAGUACUCUAGGAGGGGGACAGAAAGCUCUGAGAGCUAAGGACAGAAACUUGCUCCUCUCUAGUCCUCUUUACAUCACCCUCGGGGUCAGGAGCCUGGCCUGUGUCUACACCCAUAGAAAGAUUAGUGGGCAUCUGAAUGAAAGAGCAGAAACGUUGCCUCCAAGGUCUGGUGUGGGUAAAGGCACCAGAGCCCCUGGGGAGGCAGAAAGUGAGGUGAGGGGUCUGCAGGAGGAGAGGGUCCCUGGCAGCCAGCACCCUAUGGAUCCACUCAAGAAUUCAGCGGGGGGAGGGGGGGAGGCUUGAUUCAGUUAGUAAUGCGAUUGCUUGAGGGCCUGAAUUUGAUCUUCAGAAUCCAUGUGAAAGGUCAGAUGUGAAAAACAAAACAAAAAACAACAAAAAUGUUAGAUGUGCUUGGCACACUUGCAGUCCCAGUGCUGGGGAGGUAAAGACAGGCAACUCCCUAGGGUUUGCUGACUAGCCAGCUCAUAUAGUCUGGUGAGUUCCAGACAACUGGUAGACCUUAUCUUAAGAAACAAGAGUUACAUCCUCAGGAAUGACACCCCAGGUAGAUCUCCAUCUACAUGUGCACAUAGGCACCUGCAUACAUACAUACACACACACACACACACACACACACACACACACACACACACACACGCACGCACAUGUACACCCACACACACUUUUAAAAACCAGCAGGGACAUAUCUGCCAGACUUACCACCAUGAAGAAAAGGUACUUCCCUGAGUACUCACAGGCUUGACUCCCCUCUACUGAACACAUAGUUACCACUUGGGUAGAUCUUGCAAACACAGUUUAAAGGAAUUCCUCUACACGUCUUGACCUAGAAUAAGAAGAUGAGGUGUUCAGUGGAGGCUUGCCCUGUGGGGUGGUUAUCACAUGACACUCUCGCCUCCCUUACCCACUCUUACCUUCUACGGUAAGCAGGGGUGGCCCCUUCUGUCUGUCCUCCACCGGCCUGUGGAGCCAUGCACCUCUCUUUCCAGCUGGUGUGCCCGACCUUUCCAGCUGGCAUUUCGAGUGCUCUCUCUUGGCGCCUCUGAGUUCUGCGGAUCCCGAGGCGGUCAUUUGUCAGAUGGUCCCGACAUCCCUUCAGAGUCUCCUGCUGAGGAAACAAUUGUGUCAGACAAUCUCAGUGGCUUUCUUUCCCUCCAAGCAGGCAACCCAAAUGCUCUAAACCAGGGAGAAAUCAGAGCCCUAGAGUUUUCAUGAUGGAUACUUUAUUCUUGAGCUUUUUUUUUUUUUGGUAGGCUGUGAACUGUGUGUGCCAGAGACCUAAGAGGGAAACCAUAGGCCUUUCUAAAGUAGGGGAAAUCGAGUCUUCAAAGCCAAGUGACUUUCUUACUUGCUAUGUAUUUGAAGGUGCCAGGCACUGGUUUGGCAUUUGUUAGGACUAUUCUAACUUUCUGUUGCCAGUAAUUCAAAGUCACAGGCUGGGCGAGGUACAUAGAAAGGAUGUUCAUUUAGACUCCCUGAUGUAGAAAUCAAGGUCAAGGGGUCUCAUCUAGUGAUGGCCUUCUGCCUGUAGCCUACACCAUAAGGCCAAAGUCACAUACCCAUACAUGCACAGGUAUAUGAGUGUCUGUUGGUCUCUUCCCCUCUUCUUAUGAAACUGCCAGGACUUCCCUCAUCCUAAUCACCUUCAAAAGACCCUUUUUCUAGACAGCUCAGUUGGAUUAAAGUUGCAUCUUCUUACAUAGUGUCCUUGUUUCAUUUCUGUGUGGUUAAGUACCCUGCCAAAAUCAACUCAAGGGCUUAUAGUCCAUCAUGCAGGGAAAUCAUUGUGGGAGGAGCUUGAGGGAGCUGGCACAUUGCAUUUAUAUCAAGGAGUAAUGAGUGAUGAGUUAAUGUAUGCACUAUCAGCUUUCCUCUUCAUCCUUUGACAGUCAGGAUCCCCUGCCUAGGGAAUAGUGCCACCCAAAGUGGUUAGGUUUUCUUACCUUAAUUAUUAUAAUCAAGACCUACCAUUCAGGAGUUUUACCAGGCACUCUAAUCUAGACAAUCUUUCAUCAAGACUCCUUCCUCAGGUGGUUCUUUAUUGUAUCACGUUGACUAAUUACAACUAGCCUUCAUACACAGUAAGGCUCAGGGAACAAGCCAGAGACACAUCCAAUAUGGAACCCUCCUGAGAUCAGACCAGCAGGGCAGUGACCCAAUAAAGAAACCAGCCAUCAUGAUUGGGAAAUAUUAUCAUGAAGAAACAGAACAGGGUGACAGAGCAUAACGGGGCGGGGGGAGGGUACUUGUAAGCCAAGUCCUUCUGAAGAGGAAACAUUUACGGAGACCUGGCCUUCUGGGAGAUGUUUGUCCCAGAUGGAACUAACUGCAGGUGCAAAGGCCCAGAGGCAGGAGCUAAGCUGAAGUGUGCCAAGGACAUAAGGAAGACCUCUGUGACCAGACUGAGAAAGAAAUGGAUAGUGACGAGGGUGGUCACAUGGAUGAAGAAACAUCCCAGUGUCACCAGUGGGGACUCUGUAGUGCUUGGAGGUCCUGCUUUCUCACAUUCUUCCCAGAUCACCACAUACCAGACAAGGACACACAACGGACAGCCUCUAAAGGCCCACAGAGCAGCCUGGCUCCAGCCCAGACAGCCUGGCCCUGACAGUCCCGUCUCUUCCCAUAAAUAAACCAGACGAGUUCUUCUGUCA